GUAGGAUGAAACUUUUCUACCUUGCCAGGAUAUGACUCGCUGGUAGUGAAGCUGGCGCUAAGAGGAUUCGACACUCUGAGAUAGGAGGAGGCCGUACCCGACCGAACCACCAGCGUGAAAGUCGUUUAUGUAUUGGACUUCGAAAGAAUCGUACUGGCCACGUGGAAUAUCCCAAGUUAAAGUAAUUCUUGUGUCAUUGAUAUCUACCGUCUGGAUAGAUGUGAUUGGUUCGGGAUCUGAAAUUAAAUUUCAUUCGAGACAGAGCAGUCUGACAAUGAAACACUCGAAAGAGGACAGGUCUCUUAUCGAUACGGUGUCGAAGGAAUACGUUGCAUUGGUUUCCAUUCGCACGGAAUACUUACAAAGUCGAUCCUGCCU